UUGACCUCGGAUCAGGUAGGAAGACCCGCUGAACUUAAGCAUAUCAAUAAGCGGAGGAAAAGAAACCAACAGGGAUUGCCUCAGUAACGGCGAGUGAAGCGGCAACAGCUCAAAUUUGAAAUCUGGCCUCGGCCCGAGUUGUAAUUUGCAGAGGAAGCUUUAGGCGCGGCACCUUCUGAGUCCCCUGGAACGGGGCGCCAUAGAGGGUGAGAGCCCCGUAUAGUUGGAUGCCUAGCCUGUGUAAAGCUCCUUCGACGAGUCGAGUAGUUUGGGAAUGCUGCUCAAAAUGGGAGGUAAAUUUCUUCUAAAGCUAAAUACCGGCCAGAGACCGAUAGCGCACAAGUAGAGUGAUCGAAAGAUGAAAAGCACUUUGAAAAGAGGGUUAAAUAGCACGUGAAAUUGUUGAAAGGGAAGCGCUUGUGACCAGACUUGCGCCGGGCAGAUCAUCCGGUGUUCUCACCGGUGCACUCUGCCCGGCUCAGGCCAGCAUCGGUUCUCGCGGGGGGAUAAAGGCGUCGGGAACGUAGCUCCUCCGGGAGUGUUAUAGCCCGUCGCGUAAUGCCCUCGCGGGGACCGAGGUUCGCGCAUCUGCAAGGAUGCUGGCGUAAUGGUCAUCAGCGAC
rnacentral:rRNA from 1 species